ACUCCUCUGCUGUGGCCUCGUGCGUCACAAUCACAAGUAUUACUGACGAAUCCCUACAAAGUAACCGAAUGAUUAUAGCUGUUUGAGUGGAAAGUCAUUCAACUCUUCGACUGGUACCACCUCGUUUAUGAUGCCGAGUGAACUACUAUGAAGAAAAGCUGAGAGAACAAAAAAGGCAAGGUGCAGUUACAGGUAUCAGCAAACUUAGGUUUUAAAAAAUUACGACUUUAAAACGGCAACAAUUCCCGAUCAUGUCGUUCCUAUGGUGUAACAAAGAACCUAUGUUUGGCUUUGUCAAAAAUAUUUCUAAAGAGGAAGUGGAAACUGAUGGACAGUCCACAGGCACACAGUUUUAAAGCUCCUUUACAAGUCACAAGUGCCAUGUCUGUAAAGCAGCUGACUGGCUGGCCAGCUCAUACAGGUGUGUUAUACCCAGUCUUUCUUCAUAAAGAGCAGAACAGCAAAAAAAAAAAGAUAAAAAUUCCAAAGACUCAAAUUUCUGUUUUUUUUUUUUUUUGGCCCAGAGCUUUAUGACAUUCUGGACAUUUGAGAACAAAUCAUGAAACAAAAAUCUUCAUAGUGUGUUACAGGCCGACUUCACUGCCUUCUAAGGCAUCUUAACUACAAUAAAUCCACUUGUA